rnacentral:rRNA from 1 species
UACGUAGGGUGCGAGCGUUAAUCGGAAUUACUGGGCGUAAAGCGUGCGCAGGCGGUUAUGCAAGCCAGAUGUGGAAUCCCCGGGCUCAACCUGGGAACUGCAUUUGUGACUGUAUGACUAGAGUACGGUAGAGGGGGAUGGAAUUCCGCGUGUAGCAGUGAAAUGCGUAGAUAUGCGGAGGAACACCGAUGGCGAAGGCAAUCCCCUGGACCUGUACUGACGCUCAUGCACGAAAGCGUGGGGAGCAAACAGG